UACAGAGGUCCCAAGCGUUGUUCGGAUUCAUUGGGCGUAAAGGGUGUGUAGGCGGCGCCGUAAGUCGGGUGUGAAAUCUCGGGGCUUAACUCCGAAACUGCAUUCGAUACUGCGGUGCUUGAGGACUGGAGAGGAGACUGGAAUUCCUGGUGUAGCAGUGAAAUGCGUAGAGAUCAUGAGGAAGACCAGUGGCGAAGGCGGGUCUCUGGACAGUUCCUGACGCUGAGACACGAAGGCCAGGGGAGCAAACGGG
rnacentral:rRNA from 1 species